GCUGGAACCUCUGCCACAAAGGUGAUCAGAGUUCUACAGCAUAUGGGAUUGGCAUGCAUUUCAUUGAGUACAUACUUCUCUCACCAGCAUGAAAAAGUAUAUCCUGCAUUGGUGAUCUACUGGAAAAAAUACCAAGACAGUUUGAUAGAGAAAGUGAUGACAUGUAAACAGCCUAUUGCAAUUGCUGGGGAUGGAAGACAUGAUUCCAUGGGACAUAGUGCCAAAUAUUGUGCAUAUACAACAUUCUGUUGCACAGUACCUCAAAUCAUUAGUUUUUCUCUUGUGCAGAAGUGACCAAGGACCUGACCAAACUUGCAAAAUGUGGUGGAUGUGAGUCUUUAUCAAGCUGGAUAAGACCUUGUUCCAACCAUUUGUACUGGAGUGCUACAUCAACACCUUCUGGUAACGGAAAUGUGAUUGUGGCUAAGUUUAAAUCUUUCCUUGGUCAUGUCGAAAACCAACACAGUGGAUUUUCGGACCCUUUAAUUGACAAAUGUGCU